GGAGAGUUUACAAGUUAGUUUCGUUUCCAUCGUUGUACUGUUUCGACGUAGUUAAAUUACUUGUGUUCCGUUUUGCGUAUAAUUUAAAAUUACGUAUGAAUUUCGCUAAGAUUUUGUACAGUUUUUGUUCGUGAGUGUUUUAAGUAAGUUUAUUUACGAAAAUAAAUAUAGCGGCAAUCUCACGUGUUUUAUUUCCGAGUGUCGAUAUAAUUUACCAUUAUAUAUCAACGAGAAUUUGUCGCCAUGAUGUUAUUUACGAACGGAUGGGAACGAGAUGUGUGGUCGUGCUCCACUUUGCGACGCGUUCAUUAACGUGGCCAUCUACCGGCCGAGGGGCAAGCGCGCAAUUACAGCGGAAUUGGAAAGGGAAAUAAAGAGAAAGAUGGCGCCACGAACAGUGAAGUAAUUCGGUCGAAAGAUACGAUGGUGGAAAAAGAGGAACUUGUUUGCUAAUGGGAGGAGAAGGGGGAGGGGAAGAGAAGUUGAGGGCCAAAAAUGCACCAAAAAUACAUAAAAGAGGGGAAAGGGAAGGAAUUCGAAAGUAAAUAAAUAAAUAAAUAAAUAAAUAAAUAAUUUUGAUAUAAUUGAAAAAAAGAGAUCCUUCAGAACCCUUAUUCAGAUCACUGAAACUCAUUUUUUUUCAAUUAACUCGAGAAAGAAGAAGAAAAAGAAAAUUACAGAGAAAGGGAGGGAAAAUCAAUUGCUGCGAGGGUGAAUUCGAAAGGAGAAGAAGGGGGAGGGGAAGAGAAGUUGAGGACCAAAAAUGCACUAAAAGAGGAGAAAGGGAAGGAAUUCGAAAGUAAAUAAAUAAAUAAAUAAAUAAAUAAUUUUGAUAUAAUUGGAAACGAAAGAGAUCUUUCAAAAACUUUAUUGAAUCACUGAAACUCGUUUUUCUUCAAUCAACUCGAAGAAGAAGAAGAAAAAGAAGAAGAAGAUUACAAGGAAAGGGAAGGAAGAUCAAUUGUUAUAAGGAUGAGACGAGAAAUGCAGAGAAGGAGGGGAAAAUGAAGGAAGAAAUUCAAAAAUAAAUAAAUAAUUUCGAUAUCAUUGAAAAAAGAAUCCUUCAGAAUCUUUAUUCAGAUCACUGAAAUUCUCACUUUUCUUCAAUCAACUCGAGAAAGAAGAAGAAGAAAAGAUUAAUGAACUAAUUCAUUUUUUGUGGAUUUCAGGGAGGAGGAGGAAGAGGGAAGAUCAGUUGAGGGGCGACCAAAAAAAUGCACCGGAAACGAAGGAAUUCGAAAAUAAAUAAAUAAAUAAAUAAAUAAUUUCGAUAUUAUUGGAAACAAAGGGAGGGGAAGAGGCAGAGAAAAUCAAUCGAGAGACGACAAAAAUGUACCAAAAGCGAAGGAAUUUAAAGAUAAAUAAAUAAAUAAAUAAAUAAUUUUAUUAGAUCAUUGAAAACUCACUUCUCUUCAAUCAAUUCUAGAAAGAAGAAAAAAAAAGAAGAAAAAUAGGAAAGAUCAAUUGCUGCGAGAGUGAAUUCGAAAGAAAAUAAAUAAAUAAAUAAUUUCGAUAUUAUUGAUUCAAAAUUCUUAUUCACUUUUCUUCAAUCAACUCGAGGAAACGAGAAAGAAGAAGAAGAAAAAAUGAAUGAACUAAUUCAUUUUUCGAUUACAGGGAGGGAGAGGGAAGAUCAAUCGAGGGGCGACAAAAAUGCACCGAAACCGAGGGAAUUCAAAAAUAAAUAAAUAAAUAAAUAAUUUUAUUAGAUCACUGAAAUUCGCUUCUCUUCAAUCAAUUCGAGAAAAAAG
rnacentral:lncRNA from 11 species